rnacentral:rRNA from 1 species
AUUGAACGCUGGCGGCAUGCCUUACACAUGCAAGUCGAACGGCAGCACGGGAGCAAUCCUGGUGGCGAGUGGCGAACGGGUGAGUAAUAUAUCGGAACGUGCCCAGUCGUGGGGGAUAACGUAGCGAAAGCUACGCUAAUACCGCAUACGAUCUAUGGAUGAAAGCGGGGGAUCGCAAGACCUCGCGCGAUUGGAGCGGCCGAUAUCAGAUUAGGUAGUUGGUGAGGUAAAGGCUCACCAAGCCGACGAUCUGUAGCUGGUCUGAGAGGACGACCAGCCACACUGGGACUGAGACACGGCCCAGACUCCUACGGGAGGCAGCAGUGGGGAAUUUUGGACAAUGGGCGCAAGCCUGAUCCAGCAAUGCCGCGUGCAGGAUGAAGGCCUUCGGGUUGUAAACUGCUUUUGUACGGAGCGAAAAGGCUUCCACUAAUACUGGGGGCUCAUGACGGUACCGUAAGAAUAAGCACCGGCUAACUACGUGCCAGCAGCCGCAGUAACAC